rnacentral:rRNA from 1 species
AGUUAACGUUGGCGGCGUGCCUAACACAUGCAAGUCGAACGCGUCCUAAGGGCAACUUUAGGAUGAGUGGCGAACGGGUGAGUAUCACGUGGGUAAUCUUCCUUCAAGUGGGGAAUAAGCUCUCGAAAGGGAGUCUAAUACCGCAUGACAUUCCGGGACACAAGUCCCGUAAUCAAAGCCGCAAGGCGCUUGAAGAUGAGCCUGCGUCCUAUUAGCUAGUUGGUGGGGUAACGGCCUACCAAGGCUUAGAUGGGUAGCCGGCCUGAGAGGGUGAACGGCCACACUGGGACUGAGACACGGCCCAGACUCCUACGGGAGGCAGCAGUGAGGAAUUUUGCGCAAUGGGGGAAACCCUGACGCAGCGACGCCGCGUGGAGGAUGAAGGCCUUCGGGUCGUAAACUCCUGCCAGAGGUGAAGAAUACCGCAAGGUUUGACGGUAACCUCAGAGGAAGCCCGGCGUAACUACGUG